rnacentral:lncRNA from 1 species
AGCCAGAGGCUGGGUUCCUUCUAAAUGGUGGGGGAGUGAGAAGCCUGUGGGCCAUGGAGCUCUGGGAAGCUUCCAGAACAUCAGGCUUGAGGUGGGUCUCCAUCAGUAUUGAGUGGGUGGGGAAGAGCCAUGGGGAAUGGCACAGACAAGGUACGGGGUGGUGUGGGAGGCACAGGUGUGUUUGAGGGCUGAGGGUCUGUUCACGUGGUAGAGACGUGGGGGAUGCGGCUGGAAAGUGAGGGGCCAGGAACUUAGUCUGGCAGGAGGCAGUUUUCGGUAAGCAGAGGGGAGGGAGACAGUGAAGGUUGUGGAAGGAUAGUGGAAACAAACAGAGCAGGCGCCUUCCACACUCCAGUCAGGAAGUGCAGACUGGGGGCUCCAGGGAUGCCCCCAUCCAACCCCUCAGCCUCAGAGGAGGACGGAGCUGCAAAGGAGGAAUACCUCUCCAGGUCCCACAGCCAGGGAAGUGCUGUGGUCCCCACACUCCCUUCAGCUGCCCGCCAGGGACCACUAGCCCUACGUGGGUUUUUCAAUUUAAAUUAAUUAAAAUGAAAUGAAAAUGUCUGCUUCUCAGCCGCCCUGGCCACAUUCAUGUGUUCCACUGCCACGUGUGCCAGUGACUACUGUCGGGAUGUGCCAGGUCUAGGACAUUCCCACCGCUGCGGAAAACUGCGCUGCUUCUCCUGUGGCUGCUUCUGCCACGUGGCCUUGAAGGAAACCCACGCUCCAGGGAGGCUGGGCAUUGCCUGCCCCUGGACCCCAGUCGGAGUCCCCCCUGGUGGCUGCCUGGGCCUCAGCCACGGCCCCUGAGCAGCUUCCAGCAUCCCGAAGGCUCUGCCCCAGGUCCGAGGCCAUUCCACGGUCGCUCCCUGCUUCCUCUCCUCCUCCGCUCCCCUUGCUUGUGUCCUUGGCAAUGCCCUGCCCCAGUUUCUGCCCCAGAGCCGCUGGCCAGAAAUGGCUGAGGUUCGUAGCUGGAGGAAGUGGGCCUGGGCUGACGAGGUGGCACCACUUUGUCCUGGAACAUCCCGCCCCUUGGCCUGGGUUCCGCUUGGGAAACAGGCGAGGUUCGAAAGGUGAGUUUUUAGAAUUGUCCAAUGGCAAGCUGUGACAGUUGUGUGUACCCUGGAGCUCAUCCCACCGUGGAAAACUCUGGGAAUGUCUGUCUCCACAGUCCUCGGCAAGCGGCCCCAAUAGUGGCAUUGUUUCAAGCUUUUGGAAUAUUGUUUUUGGGAAAUAAAGUGACUCCUGCUCAUUUAGCUGUGCCAACUCA